rnacentral:rRNA from 1 species
AGAUUGAACGCUGGCGGCAUGCCUUACACAUGCAAGUCGAACGGUAGAGUAGCAAUACUUGAGAGUGGCGAACGGGUGAGUAAUAUAUCGGAACGUGCCCAGUCGUGGGGGAUAACGUAGAGAAAUUUACGCUAAUACCGCAUACGAUCUAAGGAUGAAAGCGGGGGACUCGCAAGAGCCUCGCGCGAUUGGAGCGGCUGAUAUCAGAUUAGGUUGUUGGUGAGGUAAAAGCUCACCAAGCCGACGAUCUGUAGCUGGUUUGAGAGAACGACCAGCCACACUGGGACUGGGACACGGCCCAGACUCCUACGGGAGCAGCAGUGGGAAUUUUGGACAAGUGGGACGAAAGCCUGAUCCAGCAAUGCCGCGUGCAAGGGAAGAAGGCCGUUCGGGUUAGUAAACGUGUACGUUUUAGGUACGGUAACGUAAACGGUCUAGUACUUUAAUACAGACGGUACUAAGUACGAACGGUACCGUAAAGAAUAAGACACCGGUACUAACUACGU